AUUGAACGCUGGCGGCAUGCCUUACACAUGCAAGUCGAACGGCAGCACGGGGGCAACCCUGGUGGCGAGUGGCGAACGGGUGAGUAAUACAUCGGAACGUGCCCUGAAGUGGGGGAUAACGUAGCGAAAGUUACGCUAAUACCGCAUAUUCUGUGAGCAGGAAAGCAGGGGAUCGCAAGACCUUGCGCUUUAGGAGCGGCCGAUGUCGGAUUAGCUAGUUGGUGGGGUAAAAGCUCACCAAGGCGACGAUCCGUAGCGGGUCUGAGAGGAUGAUCCGCCACACUGGGACUGAGACACGGCCCAGACUCCUACGGGAGGCGGCAGUGGGGAAUUUUGGACAAUGGGCGCAAGCCUGAUCCAGCCAUGCCGCGUGAGUGAAGAAGGCCUUCGGGUUGUAAAGCUCUUUCGGCCGGGAAGAAAUCGCACGGGAUAAUACCCUGUGCGGAUGACGGUACCGGAAUAAGAAGCACCGGCUAACUACGUGCCAGCCGCCGCCGUAA
rnacentral:rRNA from 1 species